rnacentral:rRNA from 1 species
GACGAACGCUGGCGGCGUGCUUAACACAUGCAAGUCGAACGGAAAGGCCCUGCUUUUGUGGGGUGCUCGAGUGGCGAACGGGUGAGUAACACGUGAGUAACCUGCCCUUUACUUUGGGAUAACUUCAGGAAACUUGGGCUAAUACCGGAUAGGAUCUCCUGCUGCAUGUUGGGGGUUGGAAAGUUUCGGCGGUUGGGGAUGGACUCGCGGCUUAUCAGCUUGUUGGUGGGGUAGUGGCUUACCAAGGCUUUGACGGGUAGCCGGCCUGAGAGGGUGACCGGCCAAAUUGGGACUGAGAUACGGCCCAGACUCCUACGGGAGGCAGCAGUGGGGAAUAUUGCACAAUGGGCGGAAGCCUGAUGCAGCAACGCCGCGUGCGGGAUGACGGCCUUCGGGUUGUAAACCGCUUUCGCCUGUGACGAAGCGUGAGUGACGGUAAUGGGUAAAGAAGCACCGGCUAACUACGUG